UCUCGAUAGCGUAAAAGUUAACUCAAAUUUGUAUGGAGUUGGAACGUUUGCCUACGUUUGCCGCUAGGUUCCAACUGCAUACAAAUUUGAGUUAACUGUUACGCUAUCGA
rnacentral:pre_miRNA from 9 species